GGGCCCGCACAAGCGGUGGAGCAUGUGGUUUAAUUCGAUGAUACGCGAGGAACCUUACCAGGGCUUAAAUGCAGAACGACCGGGGUGGAAACACCCCUUUCUUCGGACGGUCUGCAAGGUGCUGCAUGGUUGUCGUCAGCUCGUGCUGUGAAGUGUCGGGUUAAGUCCCAUAACGAGCGCAACCCCUAUUUCUAGUUGCCAGCGGUUCGGCCGGGGACUCUAGAGAAACUGCCAGCGUAAGCUGUGAGGAAGGUGGGGAUGACGUCAAAUCAUCACGGCCCUUACGUCCUGGGCCACACACGUGCUACAAUGGUGGGGACAACGAGUCGCGAACCCGCGAGGGUAAGCUAAUCUUCAAACCCCAUCUCAGUUCGGAUUGUAGGCUGCAACUCGCCUACAUGAAGGUGGAAUCGCUAGUAA
rnacentral:rRNA from 1 species